GCCUCCUAAAGAGUAAUGGAGGUGUGCGAAGGGAGGCUCAAGUGUUUAUCUUGCUCGUGAGUGUAAUGGUAUAAGCCUGCAUGACCGCGAGAACGACUGGUCGAACAGAGACGAAAGUCAGCCAUAGAGAUCCGGGAGUCCCAUGUGAAAGAGCUCUCGCUCAAU
rfam:Triticum aestivum genome assembly, contig: Triticum_aestivum_CS42_TGACv1_scaffold_604183_7DL